GAUGAACGCUGGCGGCGUGCCUAAUACAUGCAAGUCGAGCGAACAGAUAAGGAGCUUGCUCCUUUGACGUUAGCGGCGGACGGGUGAGUAACACGUAGGUAACCUAUCUAUAAGACUGGAAUAACUCCGGGAAACCGGGGCUAAUGCCGGAUAACAUGUUGAACCGCAUGGUUCUACAGUGAAAGGCGGCUUUGCUGUCACUUAUAGAUGGACCCGCGCCGUAUUAGCUAGUUGGUGAGGUAACGGCUCACCAAGGCAACGAUACGUAGCCGACCUGAGAGGGUGAUCGGCCACACUGGAACUGAGACACGGUCCAGACUCCUACGGGAGGCAGCAGUAGGGAAUCUUCCGCAAUGGGCGAAAGCCUGACGGAGCAACGCCGCGUGAGUGAUGAAGGUCUUCGGAUCGUAAAACUCUGUUAUUAGGGAAGAACAAAUGCGUAAGUAACUGUGCGCGUCUUGACGGUACCUAAUCAGAAAGCCACGGCUAACUACGUG
rnacentral:rRNA from 1 species